rnacentral:rRNA from 1 species
CCUACGGGAGGCAGCAGUGGGGAAUAUUGCACAAUGGGGGAAACCCUGAUGCAGCGACGCCGCGUGAGUGAAGAAGUAUUUCGGUAUGUAAAGCUCUAUCAGCAGGGAAGAAAUAAAGUCCUCCGGACUUUGGACGGUACCUGACUAAGAAGCCCCGGCUAACUACGUGCCAGCAGCCGCGGUAAUACGUCGGGGGCAAGCGUUAUCCGGAUUUACUGGGUGUAAAGGGAGCGUAGACGGAAGCGCAAGUCGGGAGUGAAAUCCCAUGGCUUAACCAUGGAACUGCAUUUGAAACUGUGAAGCUGGAGUGCAGGAGAGGUAAGCGGAAUUCCUGGUGUAGCGGUGAAAUGCGUAGAUAUUAGGAGGAACACCAGUGGCGAAGGCGGCUUACUGGACUGUAACUGACGUUGAGGCUCGAAAGCGUGGGGAGCAAACAGGAUUAGAUACCCUAGUAGUC